GUGGGCUCUUCUGAUCUAUAUUUUUUACCUUUCACACUGUCUUCCCGGUGAGGGGAGGAACCCAGCUGGAAAGCACUACAAUCAUGGUCGAGUUUCCAACAAGUCAACUUGUGAAUGGAUAAUCAGGAGACAUGAGGAAACCAAAUGACAAAGAACAGAUGGGGUCUGUGACUGGAUCUUCUAUCAUUCCAAUUCUAUAUCCAACUUGAAUAUAUAUUCCUGGACUUACAAAACGCCAAGGGGGUGACUGGAAGUUUUGGAUAUCAGAAUAUAAAUUAGACCCGUGAGUUGGGGAGAGGGAAGAGCAAAAUCCCCUGAAUGUUUCAAUGCAAUAUCAGUAUAAAGAUCACCUUGUAUUCUCUUUGCCUUUUAAAAGCCAUUAUUACAAUCUUAGAAGAGGAAGAAAUUCAGGUACAAAAAAUGUGUUUUAAUAGCCUAAACGACGGUGCUCGGUGAGUCUUGGUUCUAAAGGUACCAAAUGAGGUCAAAGUUCUCAAACUGCUACAUACUUUGACAAGGAAAAUCUAUUUUUGUCUUCCCAUCUACAUUUAUGACCUAACUCAGGUAAAUACACCUGGUUUACUUUAACCAUUUUAUGCAGUCUGUUAUGCACUGUGGUUUCAGAUGUGCAAUAAUUUGUACAAUGGUUUAUUCCCAAGUAUGGCUUAAGCAGAACAAUUGUUUUUUCUAUAUAGUUCCUUGCCUUAAUAAAUAUGUAAUGUAAAUUUAAGCAAACUUCUAUUUUGUAUAUCUGUACAUUACAAAGUAAAAAAAUGAACAUUUUGUGGAGUUUGUAUUUUGCACAUUCAAGGUGAGAACUAAGUUUUAAAUAAACCUAUAAUAUUUUAUCUGAAAAAAAAAA